rnacentral:rRNA from 1 species
GAUGAACGCUGGCGGCGUGCCUAAUGCAUGCAAGUCGAACGGUCCCCCGACUUGUCGGGGGGUAGUGGCGAACGGCUGAGUAAAGCAAAGGUAACCUACCCUUAAGUGGGGGAUAACCCCGAGAAAUCGGGGCUAAUACCGCAAUCAUCCUUCACCUAUGGUGAAGGAUGAAAGCCUUAGGGUGCUUAAGGAGGGGCCUUUGUCCUAUCAGGUAGUUGGUGGGGUAAGAGCCUACCAAGCUGAAGACGGGUAGCUGGUCUGAGAGGAUGGUCAGCCAGACGGGGAAUGAGAGACGGCCCCGACUCCUACGGGAGGCAGCAGCAGGGGAUAUUGCGCAAUGGGCGAAAGCCUGACGCAGCGACGCCGCGUGGGGGAAGAAGGCCUUCGGGUUGUAAACUCCUUUUCUUGGUGAAGAGGAAGGACGGUAGCCAAGGAAUAAGCCUCGGCUAACUACGUGCCAGCAGCCGCGGUAAUACGUAGGAGGCAAGCGUUAUCCGGAUUCACUGGGCGUAAAGGGCGUGUAGGCGGCCCCUUAAGUUGGCGGUGAAAUCUCCUGGCUCAACCGGGAGGGGUCUGCCAAAACUGGGGGGCUCGAGGGCAGCAGAGGAAGGUGGAAUUCCCGGUGUAGCGGUGAAAUGUGUAGAUAUCGGGAGGAACACCAGUGGCGAAGGCGGCCUUCUGGGCUGUUCCUGACGCUGAGGCGCGAAAGCGUGGGGAGCGAAGCGGAUUAGAUACCCGCGUAGUCCACGCCCUAAACGGUGGACACUAGGUAUAGGGGGUAUCGACCCCCUCUGUGCCGAAGCUAACGCCUUAAGUGUCCCGCCUGGGGACACGGCCGCAAGGCU